GGCGAGUGAAGCGGGAAGAGCUCAAAUUUGAAAUCUGGUGGCCUCAGGUCAUCCGAGUUGUAAUCUAUAGAAGUGUUUUCCGUGCUGGCUCAUGUACAAGUCCCUUGGAACAGGGCGUCAUAGAGGGUGAGAAUCCCGUCCUUGACAUGAACUACCAGUGCUCUGUGAUACAUUUUCAACGAGUCGAGUUGUUUGGGAAUGCAGCUCAAAAUGGGUGGUAAAUUCCAUCUAAAGCUAAAUAUUGGCGAGAGACCGAUAGCGAACAAGUACCGUGAGGGAAAGAUGAAAAGCACUUUGGAAAGAGAGUUAAACAGUAUGUGAAAUUGUUGAAAGGGAAACGAUUGAAGUCAGUCGUGCUCUUUGGAUUCAGCCGGUUCUGCCGGUGUACUUCCUUUGAGUGGGGUCAACAUCAGUUUUGAUCGCUGGAUAAAGGCUGGAGGAACGUAGUACCCUCGGGUAAACUUAUAGCCUCCUGUCACAUACAGUGGUUGGGACUGAGGAACGCAGCACGCCUUUAUGGCCGGGAUUCGUCCACGUAC
rnacentral:rRNA from 1 species